UACGUAGGGGGCAAGCGUUGUCCGGAAUCAUUGGGCGUAAAGCGAGCGUAGGCGGCCCGAUAAGUCUGCUGUAAAAGUCAACGGCUCAACCGUUGAAAGCCGGUGGAUACUGUCGGGCUAGAGUCCGGAAGAGGCAAGUGGAAUUCCUGGUGUAGCGGUGGAAUGCGCAGAUAUCAGGAGGAACACCUAUAGCGAAGGCAGCUUGCUGGGACGAUACUGACGCUAAGGCUCGAAAGCGUGGGGAGCGAACAGG
rnacentral:rRNA from 1 species